UACGUAGGGUGCGAGCGUUAAUCGGAAUUACUGGGCGUAAAGCGUGCGCAGGCGGUUCGUUGUGUCUGAUGUGAAAGCCCCGGGCUCAACCUGGGAAUGGCAUUGGAAACUGGCGAGCUGGAGUGUGGCAGAGGGGGGUGGAAUUCCUGGUGUAGCGGUGAAAUGCGCAGAUAUCAGGAGGAACACCGAUGGCGAAGGCAGGUCUCUGGGCCACUACUGACGCUGAGAAGCGAAAGCGUGGGGAGCGAACAGG
rnacentral:rRNA from 1 species